rnacentral:rRNA from 1 species
UACGUAGGGUGCGAGCGUUAAUCGGAAUUACUGGGCGUAAAGCGUGCGCAGGCGGUUUUGUAAGCCAGAUGUGAAAUCCCCGGGCUUAACCUGGGAAUGGCAUUUGGGACUGCAAGGCUUGAGUGCGGCAGAGGAGACUGGAAUUCUCGGUGUAGCGGUGAAAUGCGUAGAUAUCGAGAGGAACACCUGCGGCGAAGGCGGGUUGCUGGGCCGACACUGACGCUGAGGCGCGAAAGCCAGGGGAGCGAACGGG